ACCCGGGUGACUCAGUCGGUUGAGUAUCUGACUUUGGCUCAGGUCAUGCUCUCACAGUCUGUGAGUUCGAGCCCCGCCUCAGGCU
rnacentral:tRNA from 1 species